CCUCUGACCGCUCUUUAAUCGGAGCUUUCCUUCGGGACAGGGGAGACAGGUGGUGCAUGGUUGUCGUCAGCUCGUGUCGUGAGAUGUUGGGUUAAGUCCCGCAACGAGCGCAACCCCUAUCCUCAGUAGCCAGCAAGUUGAGUUGGGCACUCUGUGGAGACUGCCAGGGAUAACCUGGAGGAAGGCGGGGAUGACGUCAAAUCAUCAUGCCCCUUAUGAUUUGGGCUACACACGUGCUACAAUGGCGUAAACAAAGGGAAGCGAGAUUGUGAGAUGGAGCAAAUCCCAAAAAUAACGUCCCAGUUCGGACUGUAGUCUGCAACCCGACUACACGAAGCUGGAAUCGCUAGUAAUCGCGGAUCAGAAUGCCGCGGUGAAUACGUUCCCGGGUCUUGUACACACCGCCCGUCACACCAUGGGAGUCAGUAACGCCCGAAGUCAGUGACCUAACUGCAAAGAAGGAGCUGCCGAAGGUGGGACCGAUAACUGG
rnacentral:rRNA from 1 species